GGUUGUUUGGACCGAGCGGUCGAAGGCACUAGACCUAGAAUCUAGGAAUCAUGGGUUCAACUCCCAUAACAACCA